rnacentral:rRNA from 1 species
CCUACGGGGUGCAGCAGUGGGGAAUAUUGGACAAUGGGCGAAAGCCUGAUCCAGCCAUGCCGCGUGUGUGAAGAAGGCCUUCGGGUUGUAAAGCACUUUCAGUGGGGAAGAAAGCCUUGGGGCUAAUACCCUCGAGGAAGGACAUCACCCACAGAAGAAGCACCGGCUAACUCCGUGCCAGCAGCCGCGGUAAUACGGAGGGUGCGAGCGUUAAUCGGAAUUACUGGGCGUAAAGCGCGCGUAGGCGGUCUGAUAAGCCGGUUGUGAAAGCCCCGGGCUCAACCCGGGAACGGCAUCCGGAACUGUCAGGCUAGAGUGCAGGAGAGGAAGGUAGAAUUCCCGGUGUAGCGGUGAAAUGCGUAGAGAUCGGGAGGAAUACCGGUGGCGAAGGCGGCCUUCUGGACUGACACUGACGCUGAGGUGCGAAAGCGUGGGUAGCAAACAGGAUUAGAUACCCUUGUAGUC